CCUACGGGAGGCAGCAGUAGGGAAUCUUUCACAAUGGGCGAAAGCCUGAUGGAGCAACGCCGCAUGCAGGAUGAAGGCCUUCGGGUUGUAAACUGCUUUUAUAAGCGAGAAAUAUGAUGGUAACUUAUGAAUAAGGAUCGGCUAACAACGUGCCAGCAGCCGCGGUCAUACGUAGGAUCCGAGCAUUAUCCGGAGUGACUGGGUGUAAAGAGUUGCGUAGGUGGCAUAAUAAGUAGCUAGUGAAAUCUGGUGGCUCAACCAUUCAGACUAUUAGCUAAACUGUUAAGCUCGAGACCGUUAGGGGUAACUGGAAUUUCUAGUGUAGGAGUGAAAUCCGUAGAUAUUAGAAGGAACACCAAUAGCGUAGGCAGGUUGCUGGGACGGUUCUGACACUAAGGCACGAAAGCGUAGGGAGCAAACGGGAUUAGAUACCCCAGUAGUC
rnacentral:rRNA from 1 species